UACGUAGGGGGCGAGCGUUGUCCGGAAUCAUUGGGCGUAAAGCGCGUGUAGGCGGCCCGGUAAGUCCGCUGUGAAAGUCCAGGGCUCAACCCUGGGAUGCCGGUGGAUACUGUCGGGCUCGAGUCCGGAAGAGGCGAGUGGAAUUCCUGGUGUAGCGGUGAAAUGCGCAGAUACCAGGAGGAACACCAAUGGCGAAGGCAGCUCGCUGGGACGUGACUGACGCUGAGACGCAAAAGCGUGGGGAGCAAACAGG
rnacentral:rRNA from 1 species